rnacentral:lncRNA from 1 species
GUAAAGGAGAAAGGUAUAUUCACAAAUGUGAUAUCUCCAACAGCUAAGGCGAAACUUAGAUUGCUCUUUGAAGUGGCACCAUUAGGAUUCUUGAUUGAAAAAGCUGGAGGUUACAGCAGCGAUGGGAAACAAUCCGUCCUUGACAAAGUGAUCGUUAAUCUUGAUGACCGGACUCAAGUUGCUUAUGGUUCCAAGAAUGAGAUUAUCCGAUUUGAAGAAACACUCUACGGAUCAUCAAGGCUUAAGGCUGGUGCACCAGUUGGUGCUGCUGUUUGAGGCUAGAGAAUGCAGCAA